CAAGCCAAAAUGAGUUUAAAUCUUUGCCAGGAAAAUUUUUGCUUUGAAAAGAUUGCAAAGGAGGGUUUGACAAAGAUAAAGUAUCAUAAUAACAACAGCAACAACAACCAACUUAAUCCCAAGUUAGCUGCCAUUGACUAUGUGGAUCCUUUUUCGCUAUUCGACUCUAUUAGACACUAGGUCCGCAAAGAUAAAGUAUCAUAACUAUGAUAAAAAUUAAAAAUAUCACAAACGAAUAAACAACUAUGAUAAACUAUUAUUUAAUCCACAUCUGCAAAUAAAAUUAAAGGAAAUCAGACAUGAAAUGGUGAAGCUAUUAUCAACUGUAACAAUUGUUCAAACAAGGAACCAGAAUGAGUUUAAAUCGUUGCCAGAAAAAAUUUU
rnacentral:misc_RNA from 1 species